rnacentral:rRNA from 1 species
GACGAACCGUGCGAACGUUGUUCGGAAUCACUGGGCUUAAAGGGCGCGUAGGCGGACGACCAAGUCGGGGGUGAAAUCUUUCGGCUCAACCGGAAAAUAGCCUUCGAUACUGGCCGUCUAGAGGGAGGUAGGGGCGUGUGGAACUUCCGGUGGAGCGGUGAAAUGCGUUGAUAUCGGAAGGAACUCCGGUGGCGAAAGCGACACGCUGGAUCUCAUCUGACGCUGAGGCGUGAAAGCCAGGGGAGCGAACGGG